rnacentral:tRNA from 1 species
UGCAUUUUAGUGUAUGAUGAACUUAAAGUUUUGAUCUUUAUAGGUAUGGUUUAAUUCCAUAAUUUGCAA